CCCAUUCUCCUUUCCCUUCAGAUUGGCGGGAUGAAAAAUGGAGCUAAAGGUUACAAAGCACCCAGGAGCCUCAGGGCACAGCAUUGUGUGUGUGCCAGCUGCCAGCUUUCACGAUGCCCUGUUCCAGAUCCUAGAAGCAACACCUCACAUCAGUGUUCCCUGGAGGUCAUACACCACUGGCCAGAGGACAUCUGCUACCCAUAAACUGGACUGGUUGUGACAGGCACAUCCCCCUGGGGGCAGGCACAGCCUGGGAACCCUAUUCCAUCCAAGACAGGAAAAAAAUAUUUCCCUGAGAGGAUGAGAUCUGCCCCUGGCACUUUCAAGGAUCCUUGUCUUACCCUGGAUCUUAUCUCCCUGCUUAGAUUGCUGCUCUCUCCUCUGGACCGCUUAAAGUGGGAGAGAGACAGGGUUGAGCUCUCUUGAGUGGUGGAGACCGAGUCAGGCAGCGUGGAGAAGCCUCUGUCAAUCCCCAUCUUUCCUGGGCAAAACGGAAGGACACUGCAACGGAUCUACCUUAUCCUGUGUCUGCUCCUGGAAACCACGUUGUGAGCGUGACCUCACUUCUCAGACCACACGGAUAGGACCACGAAUGGGAACUUGGAGAAUACAGUCCAACCAAGGUUCUUUCCCUGGGAAUUUGGAAGGACAGAGAUGCAGAGGCAGUCACCAUGGUGACAGGGAGUGGUGGAGGAGCCACAGCCUGCACUGUAUGUGGGAGAGAAAGCAGGUCCCCUGAGGAGAAAGGUGACAACGUUCACAGAGAUGCCUUCUAGCCCUGAGGUGCGCCUGUGAACA